GGUUGUCCAAAGGUGGUGAGUUACCUCCAUUGACUGCUCACAGUUAGUGCAAAACUGAAUUCCAUGUUAAAUAUCCCACCUCUUCUCACUAUUGCACUUGACUAGUCUUC
rnacentral:Y_RNA from 1 species